GGAAGGAGCAUACCCGAGGGGAUUCGGGCUCCGGCCGAUCCUCCCCCCCUUUGUGUACCCACCUUUUUUGCUUUGGCGGGCCGCCUCCUACGCGGCCGCCCUCCGUCCGGGGGGUGGCCAGCGCCCGCCAGAGGACCAUCGAACUCCGGUCAGUGAACGUUGCCGUCUGAAAAACAAUCAAUAAACUAAAACUUUCAACAACGGAUCUCUUGGUUCUGGCAUCGAUGAAGAACGCAGCGAAAUGCGAUAAGUAAUGUGAAUUGCAGAAUUCAGUGAAUCAUCGAAUCUUUGAACGCACAUUGCGCCCCUCGGUAUUCCGAGGGGCAUGCCUGUUCGAGCGUCAUUACAACCCUCAAGCUCUGCUUGGUGUUGGGCACCGCCCUUCCGCGGGCGCGCCUCAAAGACCUCGGCGGUGGCGUCUUGCCUCGAGCGUAGUAGAAAACACCUCGCUUUGGAGCGCACGGCGCCGCCCGCCGGACGAACCUUUUGAACUUCUCAAGGUGACCUCGGAUCAGUAG
rnacentral:misc_RNA from 1 species